rnacentral:rRNA from 1 species
AACGUGGGUAACCUGCCUCAUAGUGGGGGAUAGCCUUUCGAAAGGAAGAUUAAUACCGCAUAAGAUUGUAGUAUCGCAUGAUAUAGCAAUUAAAGGAGCAAUUCGCUAUAAGAUGGACCCGCGUCGCAUUAGCUAGUUGGUGAGGUAAUGGCUCACCAAGGCGACGAUGCGUAGCCGACCUGAGAGGGUGAUCGGCCACAUUGGGACUGAGACACGGCCCAGACUCCUACGGGAGGCAGCAUG